GACCGAUUGUCAUUCUGCUCAGUGUGUGGUUGCUCUCUCAGGGAAGGGUGGACGCUCCCAGUACCUCAGCUUGGAUCAAACACAGACCAACCUCAAGCAAAGAAGGAGUUUAAUGUCUGACCUCGCCACACUGAUGUGCAGAUGGGCUCCAUGAUGUCACUCUACCAAGUGCAACAGAGCACGUUUCUGACCACACCUAGCCACAUCUGCAGGUACAGUCAAAGGGUGCAGAAAAGUAAAUACUCCAAAAAGUAAACUAGAAGACUUCACCAAAGAAUAAUUCCUGGAAUACACCGAGGAUCAAGAGCGGAAAUUUCAUUUAACUACAGCUGAGUGAGAUGGUGUUUGCCAUCUUUUG